rnacentral:tRNA from 1 species
GGUUAGAAAGCUUGCUUCGUCGAAGACAGCAUCUGACUCAUAAUCAGAGGGUCCUUGGUUCGAGCCCAAGUGGGACCA